UAGUAGUCAUACGCUCGUCUCAAAGAUUAAGCCAUGCAUGUGUAAGUGUAAAUAUACUAGUUUGGAGCUGCGAAUGCCUCAUUAUAUCAGUUAUAGUUUAUUUGGUGAAGUGUACUACUAGGAUAGCCGUAGUAAUUGUAGGGCUAAUACAUGAGAAAGUCCUCUGGUGAGGUGUGUUUAUUAGAAAGAAAACCACAUGCUUCGGCAUGAUAGUGAGUAAUAGUAACCUAUCGUAUCGCAUGCUUAAUGUAGCGAUG
rnacentral:rRNA from 1 species